rnacentral:misc_RNA from 1 species
AAAUCUCAACCUUCUCGGUUUCUUCUGGACGCCGAAGGAGGCUUGGACUUUGGAGGCCUUUGCUGGCGUCUCUCGCCAGCUCCUCUCAAAUGAAUUAGCGGGGUCCUCUUUGCCGAUCCUCGACAUGUGAUAAGAUGUUUCCAUGUCUUGGUUUCUGGCUCUGUUGCCUUUGGGACCCGCUUCUAACCGUCUCAACAGACGAUGUUUGUGAGCGUGUCUCCCUUCUCGGGAAACGCUCUCAAACCCACGAAC